GGCGUGCCUAACACAUGCAAGUCGAACGGGAAAGGACUCUUCGGAGUUCGAGUAGAGUGGCGAACGGGUGAGUAACGCGUGGGUGAUCUGCCCUUUGGUGGGGGAUAACCCGGGGAAACCCGGGCUAAUACCGCAUGAGCCUGAUAUUUUCGUUAAUAACUAGGGAAAGCAUUUAUGUGCCGAAGGAGGAGCCCGCGUCCGAUUAGCUAGUUGGUGAGGUAAGAGCUCACCAAGGCGACGAUCGGUAGCCGGUCUGAGAGGACGGACGGUCACACUGGGACUGAGACACGGCCCAGACUCCUACGGGAGGCAGCAGUGGGGAAUAUUUGGGCAAUGGGCGCAAGCCUAGACCCAGACAACGCCGCGUAGGAGGACGAAGGUUUUCGGAUCGUAAACUCCUGUCUAGAGGGACGAAGGAAGUGACGGUACCUCUGGAGGAAGCCCCGGCUAACUCCGUGCCAGCAGCCGCGGUAAUACGGGGGGGGCAAGCGUUGUUCGGAAUUACUGGGCGUAAAGGGCGCG
rnacentral:rRNA from 1 species